GAUGAACGCUGACAGAAUGCUUAACACAUACAAGUCAUUGGCGAAGCUGCGCUUGCGCAGUCUAGCCAAGGCGGACGGGUGAGUAACGCGUAAGGAACUUGCCCUGCAGACAGGGAUAACAGACGGAAACGACUGAUAACACCUGGUAUUGUCAGGCUGGCGCAUGCCGGCCUGAUGAAAGGAGACGCUGCAGGAGAGCCUUGCGUCCUAUUAGCUAGUUGGUGGGGUAACGGCCCACCAAGGCGAUGAUAGGUAGCCGGCCUGAGAGGGUGAACGGCCACAAGGGGACUGAGAUACGGCCCUUACUCCUACGGGAGGCAGCAGUGGGGAAUAUUGGACAAUGGGGGCAACCCUGAUCCAGCAAUUCUGUGUGCACGAAGAAGGUUUUCGGAUUGUAAAGUGCUUUCAGCAGGGAAGAAGAAAGUGACGGUACCUGCAGAAGAAGCGACGGCUAAAUACGUG
rnacentral:rRNA from 1 species